rnacentral:rRNA from 1 species
GAUGAACGCUAGCGGCAGGCCUAAUACAUGCAAGUCGAACGGGAUCCAGAUCAAAGCUUGCUUUGGUCUGGUGAGAGUGGCGCACGGGUGCGUAACGCGUGAGCAACCUACCCUUGUCAGGGGGAUAGCCCGGCGAAAGUCGGAUUAAUACCGCAUGACAUCAUUGAGAGGCAUCUUUCGAUGAUCAAAGAUUUAUCGGACAAGGAUGGGCUCGCGUGACAUUAGCUAGUUGGUAAGGUAACGGCUUACCAAGGCUGCGAUGUCUAGGGGCUCUGAGAGGAGAAUCCCCCACACUGGUACUGAGACACGGACCAGACUCCUACGGGAGGCAGCAGUAAGGAAUAUUGGUCAAUGGACGGAAGUCUGAACCAGCCAUGCCGUGUGCAGGAAGACGGCCCUAUGGGUUGUAAACUGCUUUUAUACGGGAACAAACGUCGGUACGUGUACCGGUCUGAGUGUACCGUAAGAAUAAGGAUCGGCUAACUCCGUG